GAUGAACGCUGGCGGCGUGCCUAACACAUGCAAGUCGAGCGAACGGACGAGAAGCUUUCUUCUUUGAUGUUAGCGGCGGACGGGUGAGUAAAACGUGGAUAACCUACCUAUAAGACUGGGAUAACUUCGGGAAACCGGAGCUAAUACCCGCUAAUAUUUUCAACCGCAUGGUUCAAAAGUUAAAGACGGCCUUCCUGCCACUUAUAGAUGGAUCCGCGGUGCAUUAGCUAGUUGGUAAGGUAACGGCUUACCAAGGCAACGAUUCAUAGCCGACCUGAGAGGGUGAUCGGCCACACUGGAACUGAGACACGGUCCAGACUCCUACGGGAGGCAGCAGUAGGGAAUCUUCCGCAAUGGGCGAAAGCCUGACGGAGCCACGCCGCGUGAGUGAUGAAGGCCUUCGGAUCGUAAAACUCUGUUAUUAGGGAAGAACAUAUGUGUAAGUAACUGUGCACAUCUUGACGGUACCUAAUCAGAAAGCCACGGCUAACUCCGUG
rnacentral:rRNA from 1 species